rnacentral:rRNA from 1 species
UCGAGAAUAAUUCACAAUGGGGGCAACCCUGAUGGUGCAACGCCGCGUGGAGGAUGACGGUCUUCGGAUUGUAAACUCCUGUCAUCCGGGAGUAAGACCUGGGAGUGAAUAGCUCACAGGGUUGAUAGUACCGGAAGAGGAAGGGACGGCUAACUUCGUGCCAGCAGCCGCGGUAAUACGAAGGUCCCGAGCGUUGUUCGGAAUCACUGGGCGUAAAGGGAGCGUAGGCGGCGUGGUAAGUCAGAUGUGAAAUCCCGGGGCUCAACCCCGGAACUGCAUCCGAUACUGCCGUGCUAGAGGAUUGGAGAGGUAGCUGGAAUUCUUGGUGUAGCAGUGAAAUGCGUGGAUAUCAAGAGGAACACUCGUGGCGAAAGCGAGCUACUGGACAACUCCUGACGCUGAGGCUCGAAGGCCAGGGUAGCGAAAGGGAUUAGAUACCCCUGUAGUCCUGGCAGUAAACGGUGCACGCUUGGUGUGA